CACCCCUAGACCACCGCUACCAAGGCAGGUUCACCUAAGAAAUAGCCAGAAUAACUAGUGCAUUAAUGAGAUGGUGAACUUUUCCUGCCUGGAAUCUGGGGCAGGUCCUUAUGUACCCACAUGAGACAGGUACCUACCUCCCUGAGUCUAUGCUUUUCUGAAGAAAACAGAUUUUUCUAAAUUCUUCAGAAAAGAAUAACCUCUCCUUUUCUUCCUCUGUCUCUUUUCUAAGCCUGCUUUUCCUGACACUUUGGGCGGUCCCAAUAAUUUGGGCCUUUUCACUCUUCCUUUAUGCUCCCUGCCAUGUGGCUUGUAGAAAGCCAUGUGUCUGACCUCCACGAUGGCUUAAGGCAUGGGUUUCUUCUCUUUCUCUCUUCCGCUGACCUCCUUAAAGCUCCUCUUUACAGCUUGCCUGCCCUUCAAGUUUUUCUUUCAAACUCUAACAAAAUUGUCCUAAAGCUUCUAUGUGAGUCCAUUCUUCAAUUAUUUCAUUAAUGACACUGAAAACCCCAAGAGAGGACCCUGUUUUCAUGGGUAUCAUUUGGUGAACAAGAUGGGACACCCAAAAUUCCAGUAACAACAGAAGACAAGAGAGAAGUCAUAAUGCCAAACCUGCUCUUGUCUUGGAUUCCAGGAACAGCAGAAGCUUGCAGGGCAAUCCUACCUCCAAAUGAGGGUGUGUCCACCUGGAGGGGCAGAGCUACAUCCUGGAAAAGUCCAAACUUCAUUGAAUCCUUCAAGUAUUAAGGACUUUGGAACCAGCUUGUAAGACCAGAGUUGAAACAAUGAUAAAGUUUGCCACACAAAUACCAAGACUGUCUAAUUACAUGUACUUCUUACCCUUUGCCCCAGUUCUUCCUAAAGCUAAAGCUCAUGUCUGCACACAGAAAAUGGGCUUGAGGUCACCAAACACCUUGAUUAGGUCCUCUUACCCAUGUGGCCACACUGAAUAAACCCCUGCCUUUCACCCUUA